rnacentral:rRNA from 1 species
AGUGAACGCUGGCGGUAGGCCUAACACAUGCAAGUCGAACGGCAGCACAGUAAGAGCUUGCUCUUACGGGUGGCGAGUGGCGGACGGGUGAGGAAUACAUCGGAAUCUACUUUUUCGUGGGGGAUAACGUAGGGAAACUUACGCUAAUACCGCAUACGACCUACGGGUGAAAGCAGGGGAUCUUCGGACCUUGCGCGAUUGAAUGAGCCGAUGUCGGAUUAGCUAGUUGGCGGGGUAAAGGCCCACCAAGGCGACGAUCCGUAGCUGGUCUGAGAGGAUGAUCAGCCACACUGGAACUGAGACACGGGCCAGACUCCUACGGGAGGCAGCAGUGGGGAAUAUUGGACAAUGGGCGCAAGCCUGAUCCAGCCAUACCGCGUGGGUGAAGAAGGCCUUCGGGUUGUAAAGCCCUUUUGUUGGGAAAGAAAAGCAGCAGGUUAAGACCCCGCUGUUCUGACGGUACCCAAAGAAUAAGCACCGGCUAACUUCGU